rnacentral:rRNA from 1 species
UAGCGUAGGGAGCAAGCGUUGUCCGGAAUCGAUUGGGCGUAAAGCGCGCGUAGGCGGCCUCGUAAGUCCGUUGUGAAAGUCAAAGGCUCAACCUUUGAAAGCCGAUGGAUACUGUGAGGCUAGAGUCCGGAAGAGGCGAGUGGAAUUCCUGGUGUAGCGGUGAAUGCGCAGAUAUCAGGAGGAACACCAAUAGCGAAGGCAGCUCGCUGGGACGGUACUGACGCUAAGGCGCGAAAGCGUGGGGAGCGAACAGG